GAUGAACGCUAGCUACAGGCUUAACACAUGCAAGUCGAGGGCCCUGCUCACGGGUGAGUAACACGUAUCCAACCUGCCCUUUACUCGGGGAUAGCCUUUCGACAGAUAGAUUAAUACCCGAUAUAAAGGAUGGGGGUGCGUUCCAUUAGGUUGUUGGUGAGGUAACGGCUCACCAAGCCUUCGAUGGCUAGGGGUUCUGAGAGGAAGGUACCACACAUAGGAACGGAGACACGGUCCAAACUCUGACGGGAGGCAGAAGUGAGGAAUAUUGGUGAAUGGGCGCUAGCCUGAACCAGCCAAGUAGCGUGAAGGAGGAAGGCUUAUGGGUCGUAAACUUCUGUUAUAUAAGAAUAUGUAGUAUAGGAAUAAGGAUCGGCUAACUCCGUGCCAGCAGCCGCGGUAAUAC
rnacentral:rRNA from 1 species